rnacentral:rRNA from 1 species
AACGAACGCUGGCGGCAGGCCUAACACAUGCAAGUCGAGCGAACCUGGUAACAGGUGAGCGGCAGACGGGUGAGUAACACGUGGGAACGUACCCUUCGGUUCGGAAUAACUCAGGGAAACUUGAGCUAAUACCGGAUACGUCCGAGAGGAGAAAGAUUUAUUGCCGAAGGAUCGGCCCGCGUCUGAUUAGCUAGUUGGUGAGGUAAUGGCUCACCAAGGCGACGAUCAGUAGCUGGUCUGAGAGGAUGAUCAGCCACAUUGGGACUGAGACACGGCCCAAACUCCUACGGGAGGCAGCAGUGGGGAAUAUUGGACAAUGGGCGCAAGCCUGAUCCAGCCAUGCCGCGUGAGUGAUGAAGGCCUUAGGGUUGUAAAGCUCUUUUACCUGGGAAGAUAAUGACGGUACCAGGAGAAUAAGCCCCGGCUAACUUCGUGCC